GUGCCAGCCGCCGCGGUAAUACGAAGGGGGCUAGCGUUGUUCGGAAUUACUGGGCGUAAAGCGUGCGCAGGCGGCUGUUCAAGUCAGAGGUGAAAGCCCUGGGCUCAACCCAGGAAUGGCCUUUGAGACUGGAUAGCUAGAGUGCGAGAGAGGUGAGUGGAAUUCCCAGUGUAGAGGUGAAAUUCGUAGAUAUUGGGAAGAACACCCGUGGCGAAGGCGGCUCACUGGCUCGCAACUGACGCUCAGGCACGACAGCGUGGGGAGCAAACAGGAUUAGAUACCCUCGUAGUCC
rnacentral:rRNA from 1 species